CUGGACCACUCUGGCAUGCUUUGAAUGUAGCCACCAGCCAAAGACUGAGAACAUCAGGCCCUGAGGCAAGCUGUCUGUGACAGAGCAGCAAAUAGGUCCAGCAUUGAGCAGGUGGGAGCAGGAAUCAGCCAUCUCCAGCUGUACAGAGGCAGUAAGCAAAGAAAAGCCAGCUGGGUUUUUGGAUUUACCCAAAUUGCAAUAAGAGGCACCUGAAAGGAAGGAAGCAUGGUCACAACAUCACACAGCUCUUGAGAAGAGGAUCUGCUGAUCAUCUGAGUAAUUCCUAUGAUCUCAUCACUCACACAGACCUUUCCUCUUGGAGUCACUACAACUGAGCCAGAACCAAAUGCCAGCGUGAGUGAAAGAAGGGCUUGCUGGGGUUCCUGAAUACCUCCCUGAGCCUUUUAUUUUGGUGGACAUUCUUCUGUCUCUGGAUACUGAUAUGUGCAUCAGGGUUGCAGUCACACUCUUCAUAUUGGAACAGUGCUGAUCUCACAACCCCACAGGGCUUUCAGCUACAAAAAGGAGCCUGAUGAGUGCAACCAGCAGACACUGAAGUAGGCUUUACCUGUUGUGAUCGUUGAUUUUCAGAGUCACGAAGUUGCGUCAGAGCAAUAGAGAAAUGUUGUCACUGGCGUUGUGCACUGGUGAAAGGAAAUUGUGGAGGAAAAAAAA
rnacentral:lncRNA from 1 species